rnacentral:rRNA from 1 species
AUACGGAGGAUCCAAGCGUUAUCCGGAAUCAUUGGGUUUAAAGGGUCCGUAGGUGGAUAAUUAAGUCAGAGGUGAAAUCCUGCAGCUCAACUGUAGAAUUGCCUUUGAAACUGGUUAUCUUGAGUUAUUAUGAAGUAGUUAGAAUAUGUAGUGUAGCGGUGAAAUGCAUAGACAGUACAUAGAAUACCGAUUGCGAAGGCAGAUUACUAAUAAUAUACUGACACUGAGGGACGAAAGCGUGGGGAGCGAACAGGAAUAGAAACCCUAGUAGUCC